UUGAAAGGGAAACGAUUGAAGUCAGUCGUACCUGCGAGUAAUCAACCUUUUGGGUGUGAUUAUGUGGAGCUCUGAGAGCGGAACCCCCUCGUUGUUUUCUAUUUCGGGCUUUGGGGCGUACUUGCUCGUGUGGAAGGUAACCUCCAUUUUUGGCCUUACAAAAUGACUAAAGGAAUGGAACUUCCAUUUCCAUUGUGGAGUUAUAUCCCCUGUGGUAUGUGUUGUCUGAAACUGAGGAGAGUGACAAAAACCCCCUUGGGCUAUCUGUCUGGCAUCUGGGUAUCUUUUUGUGGCGCAAAGCUUGUUUUUAGUUAUUGAAAUUUGAGGCCCAUAAGGAAAAAAGGAUUAAAUUCCUUUAAGGAGUU
rnacentral:rRNA from 1 species